rnacentral:rRNA from 1 species
UGCCAGACUCCUACGGGAGGCAGCAGUGAGGAAUAUUGGUCAAUGGGCUUACGCCUGAACCAGCCAAGUCGCGUGAGGGAAGACUGCCCUAUGGGUUGUAAACCUCUUUUGUCAGGGAGCAAUUGGCGCUACGUGUGGCGUUAUCGAGAGUACCUGAAGAAAAAGCAUCGGCUAACUCCGUGCCAGCAGCCGCGGUAAUACGGAGGAUGCGAGCGUUAUCCGGAUUUAUUGGGUUUAAAGGGUGCGUAGGCGGGACCUUAAGUCAGCGGUAAAAUGGCGGGGCUCAACCCCGUCGAGCCGUUGAAACUGGCAGACUUGAGUUGGCGAGAAGUACGCGGAAUGCGCGGUGUAGCGGUGAAAUGCAUAGAUAUCGCGCAGAACUCCGAUUGCGAAGGCAGCGUACCGGCGCCAGACUGACGCUGAGGCACGAAAGCGUGGGGAUCGAACAGGAUUAGAUACCCUAGUA